UAAGUGUAUUUAAUGCCGCCAAAAUCGACAGGGUAGUUUUUAAAUUAUUCCAAAAAAGUAGGAGUAGUUUUCUACUGCCUCUACUGGGAUUGAAUAUACUGUGUUCUCUAAUACAACAAAUAAUAAGUUAAUUAUUACAAAACACGUUUUCAAAUAUUCCGCCAUUUUAGUUACACUGCACUUAUUGAACUUAAUCGAAAGCAGGUGCAACAAAAUCUGCACUAACUUGCACCGGCUGCACUAAAUUGCACAGCACCUGGCCCAACGAACAGUAUGAGUGCAACUGCACUAAACUGCACUUCUUUAUACGUUAAGUAGUACUUUUGAAAGAACUAAUAAGGGUUAGUAGUUUGGUAUAGAAAAUAUAUUUCGCUAAUAAUUGAAAGAAAUAAAAAAUAAUAAUAAUAAUUGAUGAAUACUAAAAAAACGCUACUAAAAAAACAUUCUGCGAUAAUUUCAUUUUCCAUGAGUAUUUUGCUGACAAUCUCCUGUUCGUCCAUUUCAAAUAUUAUACACUUUUUUUAUAAAAAUCUGUUCGUUGGGACCACGGUUUAUAUACUUUUCUGACCUGCACUAAGUUGACAUGACAUUGCACUGACUUACACUUCAUUGCACUAUGACGUCAUACGAGUGCCAUG